rnacentral:rRNA from 1 species
UGGGGAAUUUUGGACAAUGGGGAACCUGGAAUCCAGCAUCCCGCCGUGUGCGAUGAAGGCCUUCGGGUUGUAAAGCACUUUUGGCAGGAAAGAAACGUCGCGGGUUAAUACCCCGCGAAACUGACGGUACCUGCAGAAUAAGCACCGGCUAACUACGUGCCAGCAGCCGCGGUAAUACGUAGGGUGCAAGCGUUAAUCGGAAUUACUGGGCGUAAAGCGUGCGCAGGCGGUUCGGAAAGAAAGAUGUGAAAUCCCAGAGCUUAACUUUGGAACUGCAUUUUUAACUACCGGGCUAGAGUGUGUCAGAGGGAGGUGGAAUUCCGCGUGUAGCAGUGAAAUGCGUAGAUAUGCGGAGGAACACCGAUGGCGAAGGCAGCCUCCUGGGAUAACACUGACGCUCAUGCACGAAAGCGUGGGGGAGCAAACAGGAUUAGAUACCCUGGUAGUCCACGCCCUAAACGAUGUCAACUAGCUGUUGGGGCCUUCGGGCCUUGGUAGCGCAGCUAACGCGUGAAGUUGACCGCCUGGGGAGUACGGUCGCAAGAUUAAAACUUAAAUGAAUUGAC